rnacentral:rRNA from 1 species
GACCUCGGAUCAGGUAGGAAUACCCGCUGAACUUAAGCAUAUCAAUAAGCGGAGGAAAAGAAACCAACAGGGAUUACCCUAGUAACGGCGAGUGAAGCGGUAACAGCUCAAAUUUGAAAUCUGACCUUCACGGGUCCGAGUUGUAAUUUGUAGAGGAUGUUUCGGAUAAGGCUUUGGUUUAAGUUUCUUGGAACAGAACGUCAUAGAGGGUGAGAGUCCCGUCUAGAACCGAUAGCCGCGUUCAUGUGAAACUCCUUCGACGAGUCGAGUUGUUUGGGAAUGCAGCUCAAAAUGGGUGGUAAAUUUCAUCUAAAGCUGAAUAUUGGCCAGAGACCGAUAGCGCACAAGUAGAGUGAUCGAAAGAUGAAAAGCACUUUGAAAAGAGAGUUAAACAGUAUGUGAAAUUGUUGAAAGGGAAGCGCUUGCAACCAG